GUACAUGUACUUACACAAGUAUAUGUAACAGAAUAGCCUCUGAUUGAAGACAGAAUAUCUUCGGCAUUCUGUUCUUAUUCUUACCAUGACAUGGAUUGGUCCUACCACGUCUAUGCGGUAAAUAUAAUCUAACCAUAGUGUUUCUACUUCACCCAGAGAGCCCAGUGCAAGAGUACACCUGGAUACUCCUAGCCCUGCCCACCUACAUUUCUGACUUCUUGAGCUCCUGAGGACCUGAGUGUGGACUUGUCCACAUAAUUGUACUCUGUUCAAAAUCCCACCUGUAUCUUCCAACAGCCAUCAUUUUUCUUCAAACAGCCUGGUGUGCAACAAGAGUUACAGCAGAGAUUUUGUCCAGCCUGUAGUAGAUAAACCUGGGGAAAUGUUCUGCACAAGCUUAAAAAAAUAUAUACCCAGGAGUGGAAUUGCUGGGUCAUAUGAAUAAUUUAGAAGAAAACAUUAUUUGACAACAAAUGUCAAUAUUAAAAAAAAAAGCCAUGGUGGUGUCAUUCUCCAAGAAUGCCCUAAGAUACUCAAGGCUCUGUGGGAAUCAGGAUGUAUGCUUUUGUACCUGAGCCUCUCGCCACAGCACUGCCACUGGAGACCUUAUAGAAGCCAAGGCACACUGCACCACUGUAUUUGUCUUUCCAAGGUCAUCUGACUCUUUACUCUUCUAGACAACUUCUGGGUAUUGCACUGUGGCUGAUUCUCAAGAUUAGAUGCCACAUGACUACAACAUGCCACUGGGCAUGUUAUGUAUCAUUGUAUCCUCUCUGGUUACCACCACCAGGCCUGGAAUAUACUAAGCACACAAUAAAUCUUAAGGAAUGGAGCUGAAUUUAUUUUGGUUGCUAAGACUCACUUUUCUUCUAAGAUGGGGAAAUGAUUCCCCAAUCUUUAUUGCAUAUUCUUUUAUAGAAGUUUAGGCCUAAAGAGGUAAGUAAGUGUUAUCACCAAAUUUGGAGCAAGUUCAAGUAACAGCAAUGCUGUUUUAUCUGAAGUGACUGUUCCAUGUGAUACUCAUGAA